GUUAAUAGCGGCGUUGUUUGACGUUAGCGACAGAAGAAAGCACCGGCUAACUCCGUGCCAGCAGCCGCGGUAAUACGGAGGGUGCGAGCGUUAAUCGGAAUUACUGGGCGUAAAGACGCAUGCAGGUGGUUUGUUUAAGUCAGAUGUGAAAGACCCGGGGCGUCAACCUACGGAAUUGCAUUUGUAAACUAGGCAGACUAGAGUACUGUAGAGGGGGGUAGGAAUUUACUAGGUGUAGCGGUGAAAUAGCGUAGAGAUCUGAAGGAAUACCGGUGGCGAAGGCGGCCCCCUCGGACAGAUACUGACACUCAGAUGCGAAAGCGUGGGGAGCAAACAGGAUUAGAUACCCUGGUAG
rnacentral:rRNA from 1 species